ACAUCCAGAGAACUUGGCAGAGAUGCCUUGGUGCCUUCGGGACCUCUGAGACAGGUGCUGCAUGGCUGUCGUCAGCUCGUGUUGUGAAAUGUUGGGUUAAGUCCCGNAACGAGCGCAACCCCUAUCCUUUGUUGCCAGCGAUUCGGUCGGGAACUCAAAGGAGACUGCCGGUGAUAAACCGGAGGAAGGUGGGGAUGACGUCAAGUCAUCAUGGCCCUUACGAGUAGGGCUACACACGUGCUACAAUGGCGCAUACAAAGAGAAGCGACCUCGCGAGAGCAAGCGGACCUCAUAAAGUGCGUCGUAGUCCGGAUCGGAGUCUGCAACUCGACUCCGUGAAGUCGGAAUCGCUAGUAAUCGUAGAUCAGAAUGCUACGGUGAAUACGUUCCCGGGCCUUGUACACACCGCCCGUCACACCAUAGGAGUGGGUUGCAAAAGAAGUAGAUAGCUUAACCUUCGGGAGGGCGUUUACCACUUUGUGAUUCAUGACUGGGGUGAAGUCGUAACAAGGUAGGCGUAGCGAG
rnacentral:rRNA from 1 species